rnacentral:lncRNA from 1 species
AACUAUUGAUUAGAGUGGAUUUCAUCCUCUUUCCAGUUAUUAAAUCUAUGCAGAGUCGAUUUCGCCCUUUUCAGUUAUUAAAUUCACUAUUGCGCAGAGUGAAUUUCGCCCUUUCCAGUUAUUACCAUUGCGUAGAGCGAAUUUUUUUCUUUGUGAUUGUAAAGGUGAAAAUCCAUGACAACCGGUGGGUGGGGUGUCUCGGCGGUGAAGGUGAAGUGGCAUGAUGGAUUUUCUGGGAAAGUAGUGGAAGCGAGAUUCUUAGACGUUAAUUAUGGAAGAGAUAUCUACGAAUCUUUAGGCUUGCGGGAUUUGCAUAUCUCCCCAAUUAUUAUUUUGAUUUUCAGUAAUAGUAAAUAGGGGUAUUUUGGAUAUAUAUAUAUAUAUAUAUAUAUAAUAGAAUAUGUAUUAAUUAAUAUUCAAAAAAAAAUGUAUGUUAGCAAUUUUAUAAUAUUCGUAAAUUUAAUAUCUUUUUUGUCUUUAUAGUUUUAAUUGUUUUCUUUCAUGACUUGAAUUCUUCAAGUGUUUCUCAUCAUCGCAAC